UCUAUCACUUUCUGAUUACAGAGGCUCAAUUUUAACCACUAACAUAAAGUGUUCUGAGCUCUACAGGCACAUUGCUUAUUGUUUGUUGCUGUUUUCAUAUAAAACAUUUGCUCGAUAAAUUAUUAAAACAUUUUUCGACUCAAACAAAAUAAACUUUUCUUCUGUAGUGUAUAUGUAUCUAAAAUUAAUUUUAUAGCAUGUCGAAUAAUACUUUUAUAAAUGUCAAAAUAUUAUUUUAAAAAUUUUAAAAUAUUUACAUAUUUAAAAUUCAAUUUCGAAACUUUACUAUUUCAUCUAUAUGCUCUUAAAUAUAAUUUUUUUUUUUUUAACACUUAAUUGCACUUGACAUUAAAACUACCACGUAGUUUUUAAGAUUUUGGUUUCAGCAUACUAAUCGAUACAUUAAAGGAAGGGAGAAGAACGUAAUCCAAGAAUGACAAGGCACCAAUUUAUACCAUAUUUACUCUAACAUGGAAUCGAUAAUAUGAUAAAGAAAAUAUCUGCUAGACAUGUUAAUUUGCUAAAUCCUAUGGUACCUCUUUAGCACAAUCAAGUGAAUGAUCAUCUUAAUCAUUUUGCGUACUGCAGGAGCAAACUGGAAGAUUUGAUUUCAGUACACAUUUUUGUUACUACCAGGAAGUUUUUCCGUAGACCGAAUUUCCUAGUGAAUUCAGAUGGAAAAGCUGUUGUUUUUGACAUGGAUAUGAGUGCUGGAGAUUUUCUAGCCUUCUUUAUCUCCAAAAACUGCCUAAGCAAUUGGUCAACGUCAAGGUAAUGCAUGGAACUUGAAGAAAACAGGUUAAAUUAAAUGACUGAUACACCAGCGAAUACUUAUUAGCUCAACUGGCUGGGCGGCCUCUGCAACAGUUGAUGUUGUAUAUGAUGUACUGCAUAUGAAUGGCCGCGAUUGGAUACCUGUUGGUCUUGGAGAUGCAUUUGCUGUUAGCUGAGCACAUGCCAAGACCAUCAUAUUCCUCAUGGCAGUUGUGGUUUCUUGGAUUCAGAUACACUGUAUGGGCUUGCUCGUGAAUAUGCCUCGUAGUCCUAGAAGAUACCCAGCUGAGAGUUCUAUAAAAUUUGGAGCUCCGCGAGACACUGGUAACCCUGAACUUAGGCUACCCUGCACAGGAUGUUGGAAAUAUCUUGUAGAAUCACUGGUUGUAGGAUCAUAAUUAAGCUACUGUAUUGACAAAUGGACCAUACAAAGUCGGCGCAGAUCACUCCGUCAGAGAAUACGAUGAUUCAGGAGAGAAGGGAAUUGAAUUCGGUUAAUGAGGCUGAGUUUAGUUCGCUGCAUGGCUCAUAGCAUUACAGCCCCACAACCCUUUGAAUGGGGAAAACUCAUUGAGAUAAUGUCUGAUGCAGGAAAUUUACAUUGUACGAGGAACGCAGGCAGCGCCAACGAGAAAAGGGAAUCUUUUUACUGUUCCUUCAAAUGAAUAAGCUAAAUUCAACAUCAACAUGUAUCUUGACCCUUUAGCUGCAAAGGCAGUUUCAGAGGCUGAAUUGAACAUUACACUCGCUCUGUUGAACAAGAAAAGGAAAGUUAGUUCUUUCCUUCAAACGCUUAACAAUUGGCAUUCAUGAAGCUGCAUUUAUCCAGAAUCUAAUUUCCAGGAGAAAUUCUUGGUGCAAUAAUCCUAUGUUGAAGCAUUGAGAUUUUCUUAUGGUACCUGGAGCUAAUGAGGACAGCCAUACUUUCAAGAUUGUAAUUUUUUUUUUUUUAAAUGUUUUGCUUCUGAAACUAUGUAAAUGUGUGCAAGUCCUUAAAAUCUGGAAUAUUGUCUACCUAAAAUAUGAUGCUUUUGAUUUACAUUUUAUUGCAGUAGGUAUUGACUUGUCUUUAGCUUUUGUAUUUGCUGCUAUAUUAAUUAAGCAGCCUCUAUUUUGAAAUAUUAGUGAGAAGAAGUGAA